GACGAACGCUGGCGGCGUGCUUAACACAUGCAAGUCGAGCGGUAAGGCCCUUUCGGGGGUACACGAGCGGCGAACGGGUGAGUAACACGUGGGUGACCUGCCCUCAGCUCUGGGAUAAGCCUGGGAAACCGGGUCUAAUACUGGAUAUGACUCCAUGACGCAUGUUGUGGGGUGGAAAGCCUUGUGCGGCUGAGGAUGGGCCCGCGGCCUAUCAGCUUGUUGGUGGGGUGAGGCCUACCAAGGCGACGACGGGUAGCCGGCCUGAGAGGGCGACCGGCCACACUGGGACUGAGACACGGCCCAGACUCCUACGGGAGGCAGCAGGUGGGGAAUCUUGCGCAAUGGGCGAAAGCCUGACGCAGCGACGCCGCGUGAGGGAU
rnacentral:rRNA from 1 species